UUUUGUGAUUCUUCAGUUACUUCAGGCCAUCUGGGCGUAUACCUGCAAGUCACAGGGGAUGCGAUGGCUUGGCUUGGGCUCAGAGUGAUGGCCUGGAUACGGUUUUGUAUGAAUUGAAAAACUAAAUGGAAUAACAGAAGGAGAAAAACAGGUAUAAAAGGUCUAAGAAUUAAGUUGGUCUGGUGUCUGGAAUGAGACUGGGGCCUAAUAAAAAGGAGCGUCUAUACAGGAGCUUAAAUGGGCUGUACCCUGUAGCAUUCCGAGGACAGGCCUGAAUUCUGAGAAGGGAAAGUGGUAAAAGUAUUGUCCAGUCCUUUUUGGUGGCUGAGCUUGGUGAGGUGUGUUUUUAAAAGACCUUCAGUCCAUUCAAGUGUCUAUUUAGACUAAGAGGUAUUUUAGUUUCCUGACUCAGGGCAUGUUGAGUAAAGCUAAUUUGCCAGUCCUGGGUGGGGCAAAUCCUUGAUUGAAGUAAUGGGGCUGUCUGUGAGCUUUGCGGCAGUACAGCCUAGGCAGGUGGGGGAGGGCUAGUCACAGAACGAAACUGUAAGCCGGACCAGGUGUGAGGAGGGGAGGCAAGGGAGUAGAAGGAGGAAUGGAGGGUGGAAGGUUGCCCAUAGUGAAGGAAGCAAGCCUAGAGAAAAGAGAGAGUAGAGAAACGGAGGGAAGGGGUUCAGGAGUUCUUACCUUCCAGAAAAGUGGGAAAAGGGGUUGGGGUGCAGAGAUAAGAGGUUGGGGCACAGAAAUAAGGGAUUGGGGCACAGAGAUAAGAGGUUGGGGUGUGGAAAUAAGGGAUUGGGGUGCAGAGAUAAGAGAUCUUUCUCAUGGAGCAAAGAACAGGAGGACAGGGGAUUGAUCUCCCAAGGGAGGUACCCCGAUCUGAGUCACGGCACCAAAUUUCAUGCGCGUCCGUGUGAAGAGACCACCAAACAGGCUUUGUGUGAGCAACAUGGCUGUUUA
rnacentral:lncRNA from 1 species